UUUGACCUCAAAUCAGGGUAGGACUACCCGCU
rnacentral:rRNA from 1 species